AUACAGAGGGUGCAAGCGUUAAUCGGAUUUACUGGGCGUAAAGCGCGCGUAGGUGGCUAAUUAAGUCAAAUGUGAAAUCCCCGAGCUUAACUUGGGAAUUGCAUUCGAUACUGGUUAGCUAGAGUAUGGGAGAGGAUGGUAGAAUUCCAGGUGUAGCGGUGAAAUGCGUAGAGAUCUGGAGGAAUACCGAUGGCGAAGGCAGCCAUCUGGCCUAAUACUGACACUGAGGUGCGAAAGCAUGGGGAGCAAACAGGAUUAGAUACCCUGGUAGUCCAUGCCGUAAACGAUGUCUACUAGCCGUUGGGGCCCUUGAGGCUUUAGUGGCGCAGCUAACGCGAUAAGUAGACCGCCUGGGGAGUACGGUCGCAAGACUAAAACUCAAAUGAAUUGAC
rnacentral:rRNA from 1 species